rnacentral:misc_RNA from 1 species
GAUGAAGAACGUAGCGAAAUGCGAUAAGUAAUGUGAAUUGCAGAAUUCAGUGAAUCAUCGAAUCUUUGAACGCACAUUUCGCCCGCUGGUAUUCCGGCGGGCAUGCCUGUUCGAGCGUCAUUUCAACCCUCAAGCCCCCGGGUUUGGUGUUGGGGAUCGGCUCUGCCCUUCUGGGCGGUGCCGCCCCCGAAAUACAUUGGCGGUCUCGCUGCAGCCUCCAUUGCGUAGUAGCUAACACCUCGCAACUGGAACGCGGCGCGGCCAUGCCGUAAAACCCCAACUUCUGAAUGUUGACCUCGGAUCAGGUAGGAAUACCCGCUGAACUUAAGCAUAUCAAUAAGCGGAGGA